rnacentral:rRNA from 1 species
AGUUUGAUCCUGGCUCACCCGGAUGAACGCUAGCUACAGGCUUAACACAUGCAAGUCGAGGGGCAGCAUGUUGGUUGCUUGCAACCAACGAUGGCGACCGGCGCACGGGUGAGUAACGCGUAUCCAACCUUCCGCACACUCGGGAAUAGCCUUUCGAAAGAAAGAUUAAUGCCCGAUGGUUUCCCGAAUCCGCAUGAGAACGGGAAUAAAGAUUCAUCGGUGUGCGAUGGGGAUGCGUCCCAUUAG